rnacentral:piRNA from 1 species
UAGCAACUUCUAGAACAGCUGACACAGGUC